GGUGUGAAUAGUGACAGAGAGAGGGGGUGACUAGUGACAGAGUGAGGGAGGGUGUCACUAGUGACAGAGAGAGAGAGGGAGGGGGUGACUAGUGACAGUCACCACCUCCUUCACUCUGUCACUAGUCACCCCCUUCCUCACUCUCUCACUGUGUCA